rnacentral:rRNA from 1 species
CAGCAGCCACGGGAAUACGUAGGUGGCGAGCGUUGUCCGGAAUUAUUGGGCGUAAAGGGAGCGCAGGCGGACAUAUAAGUCCAUCUUAAAAGUGCGGGGCUCAACCCCGUGAGGGGAUGGAAACUGUAUGCCCUGAGUGCAGGAGAGGAAAGCGGAAUUCCCAGUGUAGCGGUGAAAUGCGUAGAUAUUGGGAGGAACACCAGUGGCGAAGGCGGCUUUCUGGACUGUAACUGACGCUGAGGCUCGAAAGCCAGGGGAGCGAACGGGAUUAGAGACCCGCGUAGUCCCUGUCUCUUAUACA